AUUGAACGCUUGCGGCAGGCUUAACACAUGCAAGUCGAGCGGGGUGAUGGUGCUUGCACUAUCACUUAGCGGCGGACGGGUGAGUAAUGCUUAGGAAUCUGCCUAUUAGUGGGGGACAACAUCUCGAAAGGGAUGCUAAUACCGCAUACGUCCUACGGGAGACAGCAGUGGAUCACUUGUGACCUUGCGCUAAUAGAUGAGCCUCAGUGGGAUUAGCUAGUUGGUGGGGUAAAGGCCUACCAAGGCGACGAUCUGUAGCGGGUCUGAGAGGAUGAUCCGCCACACUGGGACUGAGACACGGCCCAGACUCCUACGGGAGGCAGCAGUGGGGAAUAUUGGACAAUGGGGGGAACCCUGAUCCAGCCAUGCCGCGUGUGUGAAGAAGGCCUUAUGGUUGUAAAGCACUUUAAGCGAGGAGGAGGCUCUUUUGGUUAAUACCCAAGAUGAGUGGACGUUACUCGCAGAAUAAGCACCGGCUAACUCUGUGCCAGCCGCCGCGGUAA
rnacentral:rRNA from 1 species